GGAUGCGAUCAUACCAGCACUAAAGCACCGGAUCCCAUCAGAACUCCGAAGUUAAGCUUGCUUGGGCGAGAGUAGUACUAGGAUGGGUGACCUCCUAGGAAGUCCUCGUGUUGCAUUCC
rnacentral:rRNA from 1 species